AUGACCAACACAAAGGGAAAGAGGAGAGACACCCACUGUAUGUUCUCUAAGGCUUUUAGAAAACAUGGAAUUGUUCUUCAGCCACAUCCGUGUGAAUCUACAACAAAGGUGAUGUUGUAGACAUUGUGUUCAAAAAGGAAUUCCCCACAAAUGUUCCCAUAGCAAAACUGAGAGACUUUAGUGUCACCCAGCCUACUGUUGGCAUUGCGGUAAACAAACAAGUUAAAGGUAAGAUUCUUGCCAAGAGAACUAAUGUACGUACUGAGACUAUUCAGCCCUCUAAGAGCCAAGAUGGCUUCCUGAAACGUGUGAAGGAAAACGAUCAGAAAAAGAAGGAAGCCAAGAGAAAAGUACUUGGGUUCAACUGAAGCACCAGCCUGCUCCCCCCAGGGAAGCACACUUUGUGAGAAUUAGUGGAAAGGAGCCUGGGCUGCUAGAACCCACUCCCUAUGAAGUCAUGGCAUAAUAGGUAUUUAAAAAAAAAAAAAAAAAGACUUCUGGACU